rnacentral:lncRNA from 1 species
GUUAAGUUAAGUUAAGUUUUUUUGUUAAGUUAACACCCAAAAUAAUAAUGCUACAUCAAGUAUUCCAUUGCUUUGCCUUCGGAGCCAAUCAGAAUGCAGAGAUGGCGACGAAAGUUUACGAAAGAUAGUCGAUACAUCGUCGAUCGUAUACACACAGGAAAACACAUGGCAUAUUGGCAUAUAAAUAUAAAUGCUUUUUUAAAAUAUCUUCACCGAUUCCUUCGUUGAUUUUGAACUGAGAGUACAAACCAUAGGAACUAUUUGGUGAGACGGGACGAAGUCGAAGAUCGCCCUUAAUAUAAUAUAUCAAAUUAUAUCGCACACAAACUUGGUCAUUCUUCAUCUAUUCCAAUGGACCGAACCCAAAGAGCAACCUGAUGAUCAAGGUUAAAUAUAAAACUAUAUGAAAUAAAUAAAAGUAAAAACUUAAAAGCACUAAUAAAUUAAACAUAUUAAAU